AGAGUUUGAUCCUGGCUCAGGAUGAACGCUGGCGGCGUGCUUAACACAUGCAAGUCGAACGGAGUCAUCAUUUUUGAAGCAAUUAGCUUGCUAAGAGUGGAAAUGUUGAUGACUUAGUGGCGGACGGGUGAGUAACGCGUGGGUAACCUGCCAUAUACAGGGGGAUAACACUUAGAAAUAGGUGCUAAUACCGCAUAAGCGCACAGUUUUGCAUGAGACAGUGUGAAAAACUACGGUGGUAUAUGAUGGACCCGCGUCUGAUUAGCUGGUUGGUGGGGUAACGGCCCACCAAGGCGACGAUCAGUAGCCGGCCUGAGAGGGUGGACGGCCACAUUGGGACUGAGACACGGCCCAAACUCCUACGGGAGGCAGCAGUGGGGAAUAUUGGACAAUGGGGGAAACCCUGAUCCAGCGACGCCGCGUGAGUGAAGAAGUAUUUCGGUAUGUAAAGCUCUAUCAGCAGGGAAGAAAAAAAUGACGGUACCUGACUAAGAAGCCCCGGCUAACUACGUGCCAGCAGCCGCGGUAAUACGUAGGGGGCAAGCGUUAUCCGGAUUUACUGGGUGUAAAGGGAGCGUAGACGGCAGGGCAAGUCUGAUGUGAAAGGUCGGGGCCCAACCCCGGGACUGCAUUGGAAACUGUCCGGCUGGAGUACAGGAGAGGUAAGUGGAAUUCCUAGUGUAGCGGUGAAAUGCGUAGAUAUUAGGAGGAACACCAGUGGCGAAGGCGGCUUACUGGACUGUAACUGACGUUGAGGCUCGAAAGCGUGGGGAGCAAACAGGAUUAGAUACCCUGGUAGUCCACGCCGUAAACGAUGAUUACUAGGUGUCGGUGGGCAUGGGCCCAAUCUGUGCCGCAGCCAACGCAAUAAGUAAUCCACCUGGGGAGUACGUUUUGCACGAAUGAAAAUUCAAAGGAAUUGACGGGGACCCGCACAAGCGGUGGAGCAUGUGGUUUAAUUUGAAAGCAACGCGAAGAACCUUACCAGGUCUUGACAUCCUCCUGAAUAAAGGGUAAAGCCUUUAGUCCUUCGGGACAGGAGAGACAGGUGGUGCAUGGUUGUCGUCAGCUCGUGUCGUGAGAUGUUGGGUUAAGUCCCGCAACGAGCGCAACCCCUAUCUUUAGUAGCCAGCGAGUAGAGUCGGGCACUCUAGAGAGACUGCCGGGGAUAACCCGGAGGAAGGUGGGGAUGACGUCAAAUCAUCAUGCCCCUUAUGAUCUGGGCUACACACGUGCUACAAUGGCGUAAACAAAGGGAAGCGAGCGAGCGAUCGUAAGCAAAACACAGAAAAGGCGUCCCAGUUCGGAUUGCAGGCUGCAACCCGCCUGCAUGAAGCUGGAAUCGCUAGUAAUCGCGGAUCAGAAUGCCGCGGUGAAUACGUUCCCGGGUCUUGCACACACCGCCCGUC
rnacentral:rRNA from 1 species